rnacentral:rRNA from 1 species
AACGAACGCUGGCGGCAUGCCUAACACAUGCAAGUCGAACGAGACCUUCGGGUCUAGUGGCGCACGGGUGCGUAACGCGUGGGAACCUGCCCUUAGGUUCGGAAUAACUCCCCGAAAGGGGUGCUAAUACCGGAUAAUGUCUUCGGACCAAAGAUUUAUCGCCUUUGGAUGGGCCCGCGUUGGAUUAGCUAGUUGGUAGGGUAAAAGCCUACCAAGGCGACGAUCCAUAGCUGGUCUGAGAGGAUGAUCAGCCACACUGGGACUGAGACACGGCCCAGACUCCUACGGGAGGCAGCAGUGGGGAAUAUGGGACAAUGGGCGAAAGCCUGAGCCAGCAAUGCCGCGUGAGUGAUGAAGGCCUUAGGGUUGUAAAGCUCUUUUACCCGGGAUGAUAAUGACAGUACCGGGAGAAUAAGCUCCGGCUAACUCCGU